rnacentral:tRNA from 1 species
UAAGACAUGGUCGAGUGGUUAAGGCGAUUGAUUUACAAUGGCUUUCCCGUGUGAGGUCGUAGGUUCAAAUCCUACAUUUUUCA